UUUUUUUGCACAAAUUUAAUUCAAAGAUUAAAUAAUAAGGCAUAAUAAUCAGUAAAAAUGAAAUCAUAUGGAUAUGAACAGAAUCAAAAUACAUGUUUAACAAAGCAGUCCAGCGGUAACAUUCAUGAAUGCCAUGGAUCAGGACCUCAUCACACUAUAAACCACAUUCACAACAAGUUGAACGUGAAUAAGCACAAUAAAAAUAAGGAAAU
rnacentral:lncRNA from 1 species